AUCCAGCUGACGAGCCCCAAAUUGGACGAAACGCGCGUCCCGGAU
rnacentral:hammerhead_ribozyme from 1 species